CUGGUUGAUCCUGCCAGUAGUUAUAUGCUUGUCUCAAAGAUUAAGCCAUGCAUGUCUAAGUUUAAAUCAAUUAAACAGUGAAACUGCGAAUGGCUCAUUAAAUCAGUCACAAUUUACUUGAUAGUCUACUACAUGGAUACCUGUGGUAAUUCUAGAGCUAAUACAUGCACUAAUACCUGACUUUACGGAAAGGUAGUAUUUAUUAGAUAAAAAACCAACCUGGGCAACCAGUUCUUUGGUGAUUCAUAGUAACUGAACGAAUCGCAUGGUCUUGUGUCGGCGAUGUUUCAUUCAAGUUUCUGCCCUAUCAACUUUCGAUGGUAGAGUAGUGGUCUACCAUGGUGAUAACGGGUAACGGGGAAUUAGGGUUCUAUUCCGGAGAGGGAGCCUGAGAGAUGGCUACCACAUCCAAGGAAGGCAGCAGGCGCGCAAAUUACCCAAUCCUGAUACAGGGAGGUAGUGACAAUAAAUACUGAUGCAGGGCCUCUAAGGCUUUGCAAUUGGAAUGAGUACAAUUUAAACUACUUAACGAGGAACCAUUGGAGGGCAAGUCUGGU
rnacentral:rRNA from 1 species